UACGUAGGGGGCAAGCGUUGUCCGGAUUUAUUGGGCGUAAAAGGCUUGUAGGUGGCCACGCCAAGUCGGAUGUGAAAUCUCCCGGCUCAACUGGGAGGGGUCAUGCGAUACUGGCGGGCUCGAGGCCGGUAGGGGAAGUGGAAUUCCCGGUGUAGUGGUGGAAUGCGUAGAUAUCGGGAGGAACACCAGUGGCGAAGGCGGCUUCCUGGACCGGUUCUGACACUGAGGAGCGAAAGCGUGGGGAGCGGAUCCGG
rnacentral:rRNA from 1 species